rnacentral:rRNA from 1 species
UAGUAACGGCGAGUGAAGCGGCACAGCUCAAAUUUGAAAUCUGGCGUCUUCGGCGUCCGAGUUGUAAUUUGCAGAGGGCGCUUUGGCAUUGGCAGCGGUCCAAGUUCCUUGGAACAGGACGUCACAGAGGGUGAGAAUCCCGUACGUGGUCGCUAGCCUUUACCGUGUAAAGCCCCUUCGACGAGUCGAGUUGUUUGGGAAUGCAGCUCUAAAUGGGAGGUAAAUUUCUUCUAAAGCUAAAUACUGGCCAGAGACCGAUAGCGCACAAGUAGAGUGAUCGAAAGAUGAAAAGCACUUUGGAAAGAGAGUUAAAAAGCACGUGAAAUUGUUGAAAGGGAAGCGCUUGCAGCCAGACUUGCUUGUAGUUGCUCAUCCGGGUUUCUACCCGGUGCACUCUUCUAUAAGCAGGCCAGCAUCAGUUUGGGCGGUUGGAUAAAGGUCUCUGUCAUGUACCUCCUCUCGGGGAGAACUUAUAGGGGAGACGACAUGCAACCAGCCUGGACUGAGGUCCGCGCAUCUGCUAGGAUGCUGGCGUAAUGGCUGUAAGCGGCCCGUCUUGAAACACGGACCAAGGAGUCUAACAUCUAUGCGAGUGUUUGGGUGUCAAGCCCGAACGCGUAAUGAAAGUGAACGGAGGUGGGAACCUUUCGGGGUGCACCAUCGACCGAUCCUGAUGUCUUCGGAUGGAUUUGAGUAAGAGCAUAGCUGUUGGGACCCGAAAGAUGGUGAACUAUGCUUGAAUAGGGUGAAGC